UGUGAAGUAAAGACAGAAAAUAAAGUUCAGCUUUUUACCUUCAGCUCUCGUCCAUCAGAAAAAGACAAAACUACCCCAUCAGCAGUUACAACUAUAACAGACAAAACAUCAGUCUGUAGAGACGGAGAACCUGCAGACUGGUGGAGGUUCCUCUCUGGUUCUGUGGGUUUAGCUGCUCUGAUAGCAGCUGUUGUGAUCAUCAGCAUCUGGACCAGAACUAAAGGGAGGAAAACACAUCUGGAUGAAAACGCUGUGUGUCAUGAUGAAGAUGAAGCUGCACUGAACUAUGAAAACACCAGAACUUCUUCAGUUUGAUCCUCCUGCUUUUCUCCGACUCAGCAGAUCUAGAAAGUAAACAUCAGCAGGUUUAUCUGUUUUAAUGUUAUCUGUUGUAAUAAAAACUGCUUCAUUUUAAAUAUGUCAGAAUAAGCGUAAGAAGAAUUUAAUGAGCAGAUUAUUUUUCAGAUAAAAUAUCAAUUUUGUUAAUAGAUAAUUCAAAAAAUGAGUUAUUUCCUGGUUUAUUCUGCAGAGCAUCAUGAAUUGAUGAUGUCAUCCUGAUGAGUAAAGCGGUAACUGAACAGUGUGGAGGAUCAUCCUUCUCCAUGCUGAGUUUGUGAUGUAUGAGGUUGAAGAAGUCAGUGAGUUGAAUUCAUGAAGUCCAUUUAUUAAAACCAAAAUACAGCUGGUCCAUAGUUCAUGUUAUCCUUAAGAACAAAAUGGCGUCAAACAAAAGUUUUCCAUUUGUUAGCCUCUUUCUAAGCUACGCCCUAAAAACGGCGUCCCUAGUGUGUCAUAACCUUUAACCUCAGCUUUGAGGGCGUUUCCUAACAUGUCAUUUCCUUUAGUUUUAGCUUUGCAACUAGCUAAAAGAGAAGAAAACGCAGAAUUAUUUAUUCUCAACAGGAACAUAUUUACUGCCACCUAGAGUCAGAUUUACAUCGUCGCUUUGCAUCAGGUUCAUCAGUUGGUUUAUCAUCCAGAGAUCAGAAGUUUCCCUGAGCUCCAGGAGGGAUAGUUAUAGAUCCGCUAUAGAUUUCCACAGAAUGUCGAGUGUAAACAUUUGUCCUUUUAAUUUGCCUUAAGCUGUCAGCAUUUGGUGCAUGAUGUAAUAUGUUAUGCAAAUGUUUUUAAAUUCAUUUGCUUUGCUUUUAUUACUCAAAAUGAGACAUGAUGCUGCCAUUACCAUGCAUAGUUAAUCAUAAAUGUUCUGUUUUUAUCUACUUCUUGGUCUGUUCGCACAUUCCUGCUGAAAAAUGUAGACAAAACUUUUCCAGAGGUUCAAAACUCACUUUUUUAAUAAUUUUUAGAUUAUUUUUUUUCUUUAUGUGUGAA